AGUUCGGCCAGUUUAGGAUUGGCUUUACUGGCCCGGCGAGCCACACCUGCGGACCCACCUCUGCUGCCCCUCGCGACCAUGGCAGGGGGUCGGACUCGAGGAUCCCCGUAUCUAGUUUGCUUUACUUGUUGAAUUAUUAUUGUUGUUGUUGUUGUUAUUGUUAAAUUUGUAUACCACCUUUCACCGAAAGAUCUCAGAGCAGCUCACAACAUAAAAACAACAUAAUACAUAAUACCCCUCCCCUCCCACAAACACAUUUAAAAGGAUAUGCUUCGUGGGAGCUGGUGACCCCCCACGCCCCAGACCCUCGCAGUUUCCACAUUCAAGAUGACGGAAGUAGCAGUGGCACCCUGCAAGGAGAAAAGUAGCAUGCGGGGGGGGGGACUUUCUCGCUGAUGAUGUGCUGAUUUUGUAUUCAGUGCCAGUGGGAGGUUUUUAAUUUGUUUUAAAUGUUCUGUAAAGUUCUCUGUUAAGUUUCAGGGCUCUUGCUGAAAACUCAAGCCUCCCCUGCCAUAAUUGGAAAAGUUAUUUUUAAAAGUGGAGGAAAUGUUGAAUUUUAUGUUGUUUUAUGUAAUCUGUGUUGUCCACUUCAUAUUUUGUGCCACAUAAAUUGCAUAGAAUCCUACGAUUGUAGGGUUGGAAGGGACAUCAACGGUCAUCUAGUCCAACCCCCUGCAAUGCAGGAACCACAACUAUCUCAGUUCUUUCAGCUUUAAUCAACAGCAUGAGAACUGCUAAAUAGAUUACGUAGCUAUGUGGUGGGGAAAAGAUGGUCGUCCCUAUGUUGCUAGUGAUAAAAAAAACAGAGCAGCCUCCACAGACCUGGAGGGGAAGAGGAGCCUUCUCUCAAGGAGUGUACGGACUGGGGCCAAUGAGAAUUGUAGUACAGAAUAUCUGAAAGGCACUAGGUUGGAAAGGAUUAAUUUGAAUGAUCUUAAGGUUGAUGUCCAGAAGCAAGGGAUAAUACUCAUGUAUUAUCAGGGUCCACCCAGAUAAACAGUCAGCAUGUCAGCCUCUUUCCCCCUGCAAGAGGCUACUGUGCUUCAUCUCUGCCUCAUCAAGAUCUGCUCCAGCUCUCUGCCAGCAAAGUCUUAAGAUCUGACAACCUUAGUGAGAGCGGAUGGGAAUCUGCGUUUUGUACCUGCGUAUCUGUCUCUGCAUGUGUGUGCAGCUACAGCCAAUACAGUAUCUCUUGGAACCCACAAGAUAAGGGAUGGGGAGCCUGUUCUCCUCCAGAUGUUGUUGGACAACAACCCCCAUCAUCAUUGACUCUUGGCUGAGGCUUAUGGGAAUUGGAGUCAAACAACAUCUGGGGUGGCACAGGACUCCCAUCCCGGUCCCAGUUAUUUCACUUCUAGAAACCUAAUCUCCCCCAAAAGCAGUAAUGGGACAAUGUUUUACAGGUGCUAGCUAGAAAACAUGAAUCCUUCUUGGAAAAUGUUGCAUUAUUUAUUUUUUAUGCUAUCUUUCUACACAGUGGUAUUCAAAGUGGUUGAAAUACAAUAUAAAACACAACAGAAAAAUGAAAUACAACAUAAAACAAUCCUAUAUAAAACAAGGCGAUAAGAAAACAGAUCAAGGAUAAAAGCAAUCCAAUAUUGACAUUAUACUGGGGCUGGAGAUACGCCACUGAACGGAUGCUGAAUUCAGUAAGUGCUCAGCCUGGGAAGGGCGGGGGGAAACAGUCGGAAAAUAAAAAUAUGCUGUGAAAAGGGGACAAACACCCUGCUCUGUGCCUUUGGAAGCACUGCCGUAGCCCACCAAUCAGGAACUGUGCCAGCAAUGACACCCACAGUUCUUGGAGUAGGGUUUAUGUACUAACAAUGUAACGCUAGGCAUAAAAUUCAUAACUAGCACAACUAUCUUCAUCACAAGCCAACAACUAUAGAAGUCUGUUCAGCCUUCCAGAAAAGCCUCUAAAUUGGAGCUGAGCAUAAUACAAGCCAAUUGUCCCUAAAUGGGUAGAGCAAUCCUAUACUCCACUUACGGGGCAGCUGGCAAAGCUAUGCAAGUCUGAUGGGAGUCUUCAUUAUUCUUAAGGAAAUUAUUAUACAUGUGGAGGGGAGAAAAAUCAUAGUUUAAUCAAUGCAUGAAUGAAAUGGGCAUAUGCUUCUGAAAGCGAUACAUCCAUAGAAAUCAUUGCCUUCUGAUGUGAUUGUCUGCCCUUAGAGGAAAAAAAUUGGUACAUGGGCUUAGAAAGCAGAAUUCAGGCAAAUAGGCAGCUGACAUUAUUUCAGCAAAUAAUAACAGAAGAAACAAAUACAUCUGAAGGAGAAACAUCAAAAUUACAUGAAAUAUAGAUUAUGAGGUGGGCACAACAAAAAUGUAUGAGAUUCUGAUCUUAAAUGUGAACAUUGAUAUGAAUACAUGCAAUAUCACAUGAAGUAUAAAAAACCUCCUAUAGGUGGAAAUAAUUCAAUAAAAUUUGUUUGCUGAUGAUAUAACACAGCAGUUAACUUACCCUAUAUAAAUGGAACUCAACCCCCUUUCUUCUGGAGAAGCUGCACCGAUAAAGGUGCAUAGUAAGGUAAAGGUAAAGGACCCCUGAACAGUUAAGGCGACUAUGGGGUCAUUUUGCCAGCAUGACUAAACUGCUUUUGGUGCAAUGGGACACCAUGAUGGAAGCCAGAGUGCACAGAAACACGGUUUACCUUCCCGUCGUAGCAGUACCUAUUUAGCUACUUGCACUGGCAUGCUUUCAAACUGCUAGGUUGGCAAGAGCUGGGACAGAGCAAUGGGAGCUCACCCUGUCGCACAGAUUCGAAGAGAUAACCUUCUAAUCGGCAAGCCCCAAAGGCUCAGUGGUUUAUAGGAUGGACAUAUCCAACAGUAAUUUUAUUUUUGGAAGCAAUUUUCAAGAAUUAGAAAAAUACGAUGCCAGAUUAAUACAAAAAACAAAACUAAGAACUUGAAAGUAAAGAGCUAAUACCAAAAUUCCUAUAACUAAACAAUUACCAUAACUGGGUUUAAAAGGAGCUAACCUAAAAGAUCACACAGAAAAGAUCCUCUCACUUCUUAUAUACUCUACAGAUCACUAUACUCUGCAGGAGACAGUUUACUGAAGAUACCAAUUGGGCUGUUUGUGUGGUGGUACCUAUUCUUUGAAGACAGGUGCUGUCUCAAUUGUCUUUUCAGUGCCUAUCGAAGACCUUCCUUUUUCAACAAGCCUUUUAAGUGGAGAGUUUUAUCCCAAUCUGUUACUGUAUUGGAUUCGAAAUUGAUUUUUCUAUAUGUCUCUGUUAAACCACUUCGGGAUUUUCAUGAGAAUAGAUGCAAUAAAUUAAUUAAUAAAAGGAAAAUGUAGAAACAACACCUUGGUCACAUGGCACAAAUUCAUUUUGUGUUCAAACAGGAAAAGAAGGCAGGGAUCCAUCAUCUUACAACUCUGAAAUACUUGAGGAAUAAGCAGUGUAAUACAAAUUAGAGACACAAACCCAACGUGUUGAAGGCAGUUUUCUGGACCCAAAUAAAGCUGUGAACUCUGUAGCUCUGUCUAGCAUUGCAUUUGAAAACCAUGCAUAUAAUAAUGUGUUGAAUACCUGGAAGGUUAAUACAGAAAAUAUUAUGCAUAUUUCUAAUUUUAUUGUGAGCAUAUUAUUAUCUAUCUAACAAAUUAGGAAACAGUAGCAUUGAAAAAUAUCCUGUUUAUGUUUGGCCUCCAUUGUGUAUUGUCUUAUUUAGAUAUUAUAUUUAUAUUUAAUACUGUUGUUGAAUUAUAUUCCCAGGGAAACUCACUUUGUUUGUUUGUUUUCUGGACUCUCAAUGGGUCCUACUUUGAGUAGCAUUGGAUACAGCCCUUAUUCUUCAGUGGACAGCAUUUCUAAUUUGUUUUAUUUAUUUAAAGCGUAUUGUGCUUUUACAUAUCUGUGCCGCUGCUUUUAGAUUGUUUGUGUUUUUAUGAGAUGGGGG
rnacentral:lncRNA from 1 species